AUGGCUCCUCCACCAAAGCCGCUGCCACUGCCUCCCGGCUACUUCUCCCAAAAGGCCGCUGAGGUGCAAACCUCUUCCGCCAUUACGUUGAGUUCUCUGUCCCCUACCAUCAUGACUACGCCGAUCUCCUUCACGGAUACAAUUGCUGAUGUUAGCCCCUUUAUCCCCUUAUAUAGUUUCAUUCAUCCAUUGCAACCGGGGGCCGGCGGGCAGCAGGGCAACGGCCGUCGCCGUCGCCGUCGCCGUCGGCCCGGCCACCCACUUCACCACACCACACCAGGUGGGGCUUCCUCCCCCUUCCUUUACGCGACGUGUCAUCACCCAACGUGCAGCUGCUUUCCUCCCUCCUGCUCCGCCGGGAUCCACUCCAUCUCUCCCCCUCUCCCCCUAAAAUCAAAUCAAAAGAAACAAAAUAUCUCUACUCCUAAUUAA
rnacentral:rRNA from 1 species